GAUGAACGCUGGCGGCGUGCCUAACACAUGCAAGUCGAGCGAUUCUCCUCGGAGAAGAGCGGCGGACGGGUGAGUAACGCGUGGGUAACCUGCCCUGUACACACGGAUAACAUACCGAAAGGUAUGCUAAUACGAGAUAAUAUGCUUUUAUCGCAUGGUAGAAGUAUCAAAGCUCCGGCGGUACAGGAUGGACCCGCGUCUGAUUAGCUAGUUGGUAAGGUAACGGCUUACCAAGGCGACGAUCAGUAGCCGACCUGAGAGGGUGAUCGGCCACAUUGGAACUGAGACACGGUCCAAACUCCUACGGGAGGCAGCAGUGGGGAAUAUUGCACAAUGGGCGAAAGCCUGAUGCAGCAACGCCGCGUGAGCGAUGAAGGCCUUCGGGUCGUAAAGCCCUGUCCUCAAGGAAGAUAAUGACGGUACUUGAGGAGGAAGCCCCGGGCUAACUACGUGCCAGCAAGCCGCGGUAAGCAUACUCGUA
rnacentral:rRNA from 1 species